rnacentral:rRNA from 1 species
AGAGUGAACGCUGGCGGCAGGCCUAAUACAUGCAAGUCGAACGGCAGCACGGCAGAGCUUGCUCUGUGGGUGGCGAGUGGCGGACGGGUGAGGAAUACAUGGGAAUCUGCCCAGUCGUGGGGGAUAACGUAUGGAAACGUACGCUAAUACCGCAUGCGCCCUUCGGGGGAAAGCCGGGGACCUUCGGGCCUGGCGCGAUUGGAUGAGCCCAUGUCGGAUUAGCUAGUUGGCGGGGUAACGGCCCACCAAGGCGACGAUCCGUAGCUGGUCUGAGAGGAUGAUCAGCCACACUGGAACUGAGACACGGUCCAGACUCCUACGGGAGGCAGCAGUAGGGGAAUAUUGGACAAUGGGCGCAAGCCUGAUCCAGCCAUGCCGCGUGUGUGAAG